AUUAAACGCUGGCGGCAUGCCUUACACAUGCAAGUCGAACGGCAGCACGGGGGCAACCCUGGUGGCGAGUGGCGGACGGGUGAGUAAAGCAUCGGAACGUAUCCUGGAGUGGGGGAUAACGUAGCGAAAGUUACGCUAAUACCGCAUAUUCUGUGAGCAGGAAAGCAGGGGAUCGCAAGACCUUGCGCUCUGGGAGCGGCCGAUGUCGGAUUAGGUAGUUGGUGGGGUAAAGGCUCACCAAGCCAACGAUCUGUAGCUGGUCUGAGAGGACGACCAGCCACACUGGAACUGAGACACGGUCCAGACUCCUACGGGAGGCAGCAGUGGGGAAUUUUGGGACAAUGGGCGCAAGCCUGAUCCAGCCAUUCCGCGUGCAGGAUGAAGGCC
rnacentral:rRNA from 1 species